CCUACGGGUGGCAGCAGUGAGGAAUAUUGGUCAAUGGGCGCGAGCCUGAACCAGCCAAGUAGCGUGAGGGAUGAAGGUUCUAUGGAUCGUACACCUCUUUUAUAAGGGAAUAAAGUGUGGGACGUGUCCUAUUUUGUAUGUACCUUAUGAAUAAGGAUCGGCUAACUCCGUGCCAGCAGCCGCGGUAAUACGGAGGAUCCGAGCGUUAUCCGGAUUUAUUGGGUUGAAAGGGUGCGUAGGCGGCUUUUUAAGUCAGAGGUGAAAGUCUGUGGCUCAAACCUAGAAUUGCCGUUGAAACUGGGGGUCUUGAGUAUGUUUGAGGCAGGCGGAAUGCGGGGUGU
rnacentral:rRNA from 1 species